UAUUGAAAUGGCCGAAACAGAGAGCUCGUGUGAGGUGGAGAAGUGGCCGAGUGAUGGAAGAGAAGAGUGAUUUUGAGAGAUUGUGAGAGAGAGAUGAUGCGAGAGAUGAAGAGGAAAAUGACGAGAGAGGGAGAGCUCGAGGGAGCAGCAGCCAUGGCUACCAUUUGCUAGCCAAAUCAAAGAAGCAGAGAGGGCUUGGGAGAGCUAAAGCCGAGAGAGUGAGGCCGAGAGCUUACUCGAAGAAGAGAGAGACCGUGGUUGAGGAGGAGGCACUUGGUGGAGCACCAGAAGCUUCGAAAGCCGGCCAUGGCAGCCGCGGCUAGAGGCGAUGCAGCGGCGUCGAAGGAGGCUGGUCAUGGCUGCUUGCGGUGGAAGUGCCGAGGGCCGGCGGUGGUGCGUCGACUGGUGGCGGACUGAGCUGGAGCAGUGACAGUUGGCGGAGGGCCAGCGGUGGUGGUCGGAAGCAACCGAGCGCGCAGACGUCGUGCGCGCGUGAAGAAGAUGAAGGAACAGUGAGCGUGCAGGGGAGGCGCGGAGAAGAAGAGAAAAAUAAGAGAAAAAGAAAAGAAAAUAAAAGAAAAGAAAAUAAUGGAAAAUUAUGAAAAAUGGAGGAAAAUAGGUAAAAAUCCAAAAAAAUUGGGGAAAGUCUUGGAAAUUAAUUUGGGGCAAGAGGAGUGGGCCGAAGGUUCAAUAUGGGAAUUUGAGGGCAUUAUGGCGGUCCAAUAGGCGAUGCCAAUGUGGGUGAUUAACCGAUUUUCUCUUCCAGAUUAACUGAGGUUCGACUGAGAGGCAGUGAUCCUAGAGGAACUGAAGGUUCAGGCUGGAGUUCAUGCCGAGGCAGAGAUAAGGCUUCGAGCCAGAUGAUGCAAGUCCAGAUGUAAGCAGGGAUGGUGCCGAGAGGCUGUUGUGGCAAUUAGUUUGUUGCCUGAGACGUGUUGUUGUGUAAUCUCCUGUAUUUUCUUAUAUGCAUUCAUGUGCUUGAAUGUAAGCGUUAUUGAGCACUAGUGGUAUUUAAUUGUUGUAAUCAUUAUAGGGUGAUAGAUGAUUGUGAGAAUGCGUGUUGUAUAUGGCUUAGUUGGAGAAGCCGAGUUUCGGACCGAGUAAAGAUCAGUGAGGUAUGUUCUGAUAAAUCCCCAAUACUCAGUGAAGUGUUUGUUAUGCUAGCUUUGUGUCUGGGUCACCUCUGGCUUGCUAUGAGGCGAGUUGAAGAGAGGUGAAGCUCACUCGGGUUUCGGGUCUCGGUCCGCUGAGUUUUUCUUGUUUGAGUUGGGACCGAUUCCUGAGUGGAGUGAAGGGAAGGAUGAACCCUAGUUCCCACCUAGGGCAUUUCCUGUUGAAACAUAGUCCAACCCUUUAGUUGUGGUUUGUCGGGUGAGUAAUCCGGUUGAUUAUUUACUGGUGGCGCCCGUAAGUGGGAGCGGGUCGUUACAAAGUAUCUUCCCUAUAAUCCCUUCCAUUACAGGUUCUUGUGAGUACGUUUUCAGAUUAUUCAAUAGCGUCAUUAAGUUUCAAUUUUGUAUCAGUAAACAGAUACAUUUAUAUAUCUAUAUAUAUGUAUGCAUAUAACAAUGAAGUCAUGAGCAAGUAUCUAUCCCGGUAAACCUUCUUACGGGAUCAUGUUUCGGUAAGGUUGGGCCCCUAUUACUUCCCUUGUCUUUAUUUCUAUAUUACUUGUUAUGCUUUGUAACUCAUUCGUUUGUGCAUCGUUCCAGGUAAAGGCAAGACUACAGAAGAUGGGGAGCCUAGCAACAUGGGGUCUAGUGUCUAAACGUGUACAGAGCUGUCACAGACAAAAGAUCUUCGUGGGUUUUUUUUUUUUGGUUAUGGUGACUGAGUUCGUGGAUGUAUAGCCAUUGAGGGCCCUAUUUUGUCUUCCUGGUAAUGCUUCGAGUAUAAAGCCCUUUGUAUAUGUUAGUACACAAUGUUUAAUCGCAUAUGGAGUCUUAUUGUUGGAUAUAAAAUGCUAUGUUGUGUUCUCUUAUGACUUCAGCAGGUACAAUUUCUUCUUGACGCUCCUCCCUUGGUGCCUCGACUGAGGUUUCUAAGGGUGGAGUUGUCAUAAGUUUGGUGUUAGAUCUGGGUUUGGGGUAAGUCUCUAUACAUGUAGUCCUGGCGGGUAGAGUUAGGGGGAUGUCCUAUGAGUAAAUGAGAGAUAGUUUGAAAGUAAAGCAAUAUCGCUACGGGGCAAGCAACG